AGAGUCCGUAGUUGUGGAUACAAUGAAAAGGUGAUGAUCAAGAACACUCAGUUUGUUAGUCGUGGCAGAGUGGACAGGGAAUACAGUAUAGGCUGGCGAAGAAUGAAAUCUCAAAACCCAGCUUGGACUAACGAAGGCGAAGGCAGUAUUCUUGUACAGAUCUGAGGAUCAAGGACGAAGGCUAGAGGAUCGAAGGUGAUUAGAGACCACUGUAGUUCUAGCAGUAAACUAUGCCAACAUUCUCUAUCAGUGAGAUGGGGAAGGGAGAAAUCUUAGUUUUUGGGCCACGGGGAUAGUACGUUCGCAAGGAAGAAACUUAAACUGAGAUGGAC
rnacentral:rRNA from 1 species